rnacentral:rRNA from 1 species
CGCAUCUGUGCAUGCAGCAUAUCAAUAAGCGGAGGAAAAGAAACUAACAAGGAUUCCCUUAGUAACGGCGAGUGAAGCGGGAAGAGCUCAAAUUUGAAAUCCUCAAGGUUUUACCUUGACGAAUUGUAGUUUAAAGAAGUGUUUUCUGUUGAAGUUUUGGUAAAAGUUCUUUGGAAUAGGACAUCAUAGAGGGUGAGAAUCCCGUAUUUGACCAUUAUUUUCAGCUGUGUGAUACACUUUCAAAGAGUCGGAUUGUUUGGGAAUGCAGUCCAAAAUGGGUGGUAAAUUUCAUCUAAAGCUAAAUAUUGGCGAGAGACCGAUAGCGAACAAGUACCGUGAGGGAAAGAUGAAAAGAACUUUGAAAAGAGAGUUAAACAGUACGUGUAAAUUGUCAAAAGGGAAGCGUUUGACACCAGUGUUGUUUUCUCGAAAAUCAAUUAAAAAGAGUUAGAUUUUGUUGUGUAUUGACCUUAACAGCUUGCAUUUCAAUUUUCUUGCUUUUUUAAUGCACUUUUCGUUUAACAAGUCAACAUCAGUUUCUUUUGUUGUAAAAAGGUCAUUGGAAGGUGGCUUUCUUUUCGGAGAAAGUGUUUAUAGCCUUUGACUCCUGCAAUCGGAGAGACUGAGGUCUGCAGCGUAGAUCCUUCGGGGUUAGAUACAUUUGUGCUAAGUUAUAGCUUUUUAUAGACAACUUGUUGACUAUGAUUAGUCUUGUAGCUUACUCGCUUAUGCUAUUUUACCUACGCUUAGGAUGUUGAUCUGUAGUGCGUGCGC